GCGGUGCAUUGAGUAGUCGCCCGCCCAAGGCGGGAGGAAAGUCCGGACACCGCCAAUUUUGUUCAACGAAGUUGAGUACAAAAUUGAGCGUCCCGAGGAGCGUACGACGAGAGGCAACCCUUCGACCACGCUCAGGGUCCUCAAUUUCGCAACUUCGCUUCGCUCUGGCGAAAUUAGGAGAGUGGCAAUGGCUAACAGCCACCCAGUUGCGGUACACGAGUAAUUGUGUAUUCGCGAUACGAGACAGUGCCACAGAGACCAUACCGCCGAUCGUCAUCUUCUCGAGCUAAACACUUGAGGCGUUGAAGGAGGUAAGGGUGAAAAGAGUGAGGUAAGAGCUCACAGCGCUGAUGGGCGACCGUCAGCGAUGGAAAACACUUGCCCGGUGCAACCUCGCGUUUUCCGCUGUUGGCGGAAAAAGAGGGCUUGAGUCCAAGAGCAAUCGAGGACCUAGAUAGAUGACUACAUAAAACAGAAUCCGGCUUAUGGAUGCGCCGAAAAA
rnacentral:RNase_P_RNA from 6 species